GGUGUGGUGUUGGUUCUCCGCGGGCAGCAUCGCGACUUGAGGAUUGAACUAAUAUAAAGUGUGUUGAUCUUGACUGUGCGGAGGCGUCACGGUCACUUAAAGCGGCUUUGGGGCUGAAUGUGCGUCUGACUUUAGCCGCUAGCGCCGGGGGACGAAGUGAGGAGGGACAAAGUGAACUACACUUCUAUAUUAUGUUAUUUUGAUUGAAAAUAAGUAACUUAUAGUCAAACAUUUAGGAUGCAUAUUUCAAAAAGAAAAUGCAGUAAAGAAGGGUGCACAUAUUGACUGAUUUAUAUAACACUAUUAGGCACGUUAAAAGGAAUCCUGCAUCAUUUAUUUGUUUCUGUUUUUAUUGGGUGCUUAUUCUUUUUUAAACAGAAUUCCCUUUCAUGUUUGUACAAACAAAACCUUUAGUGAAGAUAGUGGGCCUAUAAGAUGUAUAAUUGUAUAUAAUUCUCAUUUAAAAUGUGUUUUUUGAAAAUGUGUGGUUUUAAAUUUUGAUGGGGAAGGUCUUGAAAAGUUUUACACAAGUUGAUGAUAAUGCAGUUUAAAUGUAAGCUUCUAUACACACUUCGUUCUUUGACUUGUGAACAUGAAGUUAAGUCCUGUAUAAAAAACAAAUGUAAAGGGAAAUACAAUCAUGAAAUACUUUUCUGUUUCAGAAGGACAGAGCUCUAUCGCAGACAAGGAAGGCACUCUACGUACUUCAGCAGGAAAAGCGGUAAAAGACGAGCUGAAGCUGUGGAAACUGUUGGGGACUGAUUGUCAGCAUGAGCUGGCAGAGUUCUACUGAAGCACCACAGUUAAGAGCGAGGGGUCACUGAAGCUACAGAAUUGGCCUGUAUAUCGGCUGCAGGUCGGUCGGCAGCUGUGAUCUGAGCUGAAACAUUAAGCAUCAAGCCUGAUGUCAUCUCUCAACUCAAGCCCAGACUCUACUCAAGACCCUCACCUGCUCUGGUUGGGCCGGUAGGAGGCUCUUGUAGCCGCCUUUUACUCUUUUGAACUCUGUCUGUAGUGUUCCACUGCUCAUGGUCACUCAUGCUGCACUUGUCCCUCUCACACUCCCAACGACCUCAGAGUCCCUGGACAAUUAAGCCACUGGGUUGUGUUCUGCCUCACACACUCGGACAGUUGAUCUUACUGCACCUUCAUGUGGACUAUCACAUUUGCAUUGUCAAUCAUUAUUGAAUGUGCAUUUUUCUGAACUUAGAUUUUAAAUAUUAACCUUGAAGAGCCAUGGACUUUAUUAUUGUUUGUAGUAUUUGUUUGUCACUGGCGACUCAAUACAUGGUACCAGAAAAAUCAAAA